UACAGAGGGUGCAAGCGUUGUUCGGAAUUAUUGGGCGUAAAGGGCGCGUAGGCGGCCGCGUAUGUCCGGUGUGAAAGCCCACCUCUUAAAGGUGGAAUUGCAUCGGAAACUACGUGGCUAGAGUGUCGGAGAGGAUGGUGGAAUUCCUGGUGUAGAGGUGAAAUUCGUAGAUAUCGGGAGGAACACCGGUGGCGAAGGCGGCCAUCUGGACGACUACUGACGCUGAGGCGCGAAAAGCGUGGGGGAUCAAACAGG
rnacentral:rRNA from 1 species